rnacentral:rRNA from 1 species
UGAAAGUCCCGUCCAGCCCAUUCAGGACAUUUCGCACGAAGUUGCUCAUAUGAGUCGCGUAGCUUGUGAAUGCUGCGCUAAGUCGGUGGUAAAUCUCAUCGAAGGCUAAAUACUGGUAGGAGACCGAUAGUGAACAAGUACCGUGAGGGAAAGAUCAAAAGCACUUUGAAAAGAGGGUGAAAAGAACCUGAAACCGUUACGACAGAAGCGUAUUGCGUUGAAUUGAGGGCUGUUUAACUCUUCAGCUGAACGUGAGUUUAGUGUACUGAGUUAAGUAGUUAUCCGUCGUGCCUUUUCUGUGGCUGAUAUUGAGCCGCGGGAGAGGGAGGGAUCCCCUUUAUGGGUGAGGACGAUGGAGUGGCAACGCGAUGCGACCCGUCUUGAAACACGGACCAAGGAGUCUAACAUGUUUGCGAGUUGAAGGGUAGUAAACCUGGAGGCGCAGUGAAAGCGAACUUCUAAAACGGACAGUUUGUGGCGGCAUAAAAUCGUUGAUUUUAGGUCUGACUAAGAGCAAAUAUGUUAGGACCCGAAAGAUGGUGAACUAUGCUUGAGUAGGCCGAAGGCAGAAGAAAUUCUGCUGGAGGGCCGAAGCGGUGCUGACGUGCAAAUCGCUCGUCGAACUCGAGUAUAGGGGCGAAAGACUAAUCGAACCAUCUAGUAGCUGGUUCCCUCCGAAGUUUCUCUCAGGAUAGCGGGCCGACAAUUAUUGUUUUGUGCGGUAAAGCGAAUGAUUAGCGCACUCGGGGGCAUUCAGUCUUCGGUCGAUUCUCAAACUUUUAAUGCGCAAGGGGGCUGCAGCUUAGGUGUGCGGCUCCUCUAAAAAUGUCGGCCUUGUGGGCCACUUUUGGUAAGCAGAACUGGCGAUGUGGGAUGAACCAUACGCGUGGU